rnacentral:lncRNA from 1 species
GGAUGCACAACUGGUGGCUUGGGGUGGAAUGGAGGAUGCACAAAUGGAGGCUUGGGAUGGAACGGAGGAUGCACAAAUGGAGGCUUGGGGUGGAACGGAGGAUGCACAAAUGGAGGCUUGGGAUGGAACGGAGGAUGCACAAUGGGAGGCUUGGGAGUGAAAGGUGGCUUAACUAUGGGAGGUUUCGGUGGUGGCUUUAUAAUGGGAGGUUUUGGAGUGAAAGGUGGCUUAACUACGGGAGGUUUCGGUGGCGGCUUUACAAUGGGAGGCUUGGGAGUGAAAGGUGGCUUAACUAUUGGAGGUUUCGGUGGUGGCUUUACAAUAGGAGGUAGCACACGUGGUGGCGGUUUUACGACGGGAGGUUUGGGGGAGGGAUAGUGUGGUGGCUUAACUACGGGAGGUUUCGGUGGCGGCUUAACUACGGGAGGUUUCGGUGGCGGCUUUACAAUGGGAGGCUUGGGAAUGAAAGGUGGCUUAACUAUUGGAGGUUUCGGUGGCGGCUUUACAAUAGGAGGUAGCACAUGUGGUGGCGGUUUUACGACGGGAGGUUUGGGUGAGGGAUAGUAGGGUGGCUUUACAAUUGGGGGGUGUUUUGGUGGAAAUUUGGGUGGAAGGGGGGGAGGAAUUGGGUAUGGGCAGUAAGGACAUGCUAGAGAAAUAAGCAAUGUCCCCAAGUUGAGAAGUGCUACGAUU